ACUCCGCUAAUUGACUUCGAACUCGUGACCGUACUUGGGAUUGAAAGAGGGGGCUUUUUUGCAAAAUGUCACCGAAAGCAUCUCUCUUAAAUCCCUCUCGUGACCACUCUCGUUAUCCCCAAAAUAAAAUCCCCAAAAUCAAAUCCCCAUCACCGACUUCCCCCAAAUCCAUCCCCGUCACCGCCGACCGCGACCCCAUCACCGCUGGCCGCGACAUCCCAAUCUUCGACCGCAACUCCGACGGACUCAUCUCCCCCUCGUUGUCGCCCCCCCAACUCCUCCACGACACCACCGUCGCCUGAGAACUCCGGACAACUUCGCCGCUGCGAGAUUGAACCGGCGCUGCAGGACUGUUGUUUACAAAGGACAACUGAAGCCAGUUCAGUUGAAGAAUUACUAUUAUGCUGAUCUUGGUGAUGAAAGGUUCACAAGUUAUAUGGCACUGGUAAAUACUCUUACAUUCUUCUUAAUGCACAGUCUGCAUUUAACAGCAAGCUGCUUGGAGAAGUCUCUCGUAGCAGAACAAAAAAUCCCGUUGCACUGUUCACUGUGGUCUGUACUUCAGGAAGCUUCCAAUACGGAGGUGGAAAGAGAAUAAUAUAUAGUAAGAUUAUUGAGUUGCUUUGCUCUUAUGCGGGUACACUCUAGGUUCUCAACAAAUACCUUUCCUAGCUGGGAUCGUGCUCAGCCCAUGCGCAUCUUGGGUCACAACGGAGAGAUUAACACACUUCGAGGCAAUGUUAACUGGAUGAAGGCGCGUGAGGGUCUUCUAAAGUGCAAAGAGCUGGGAUUGUCAAAGGAUGAGAUGAAGAAACUUUUACCCAUUGUUGAUGCUAGCUCUUCUGAUUCUGUGUCUUAUCUGUAGAAAAAGGAAAUGAAUCCCGCCUUAAGCGGAUGAUAUAUAACUUGAUCCCUGUAGAUGGGUCAAAAGUUGAGGAUGUGAAGAAGCCUGUCAAUCCAAUUUCCUUCCUCUUGCGUUUCAUUUUGGGUACCAACGCCGCAACCUACUAUGUCCUGGUGCCCAUUUACAUGUGGAUUAAGGAUCAGAUAUUCCCCAAGGGUAUGCCAAUAUGAAGAGAGCACUGGCAAAGCAAAGAGAGAUGACAUUUAUGUAUUCAUUCAGAACUAGUAGCGGCUUCUUUGUCCAGAUUUUUGUAUGAAAAUCUAUUAUGAUUCAA